UUAGAGUGACCGGGCCGUGGUGUUCGGGAAGACCGGUGACGGACCUUGUGGUCCCAGUCCGGAGCGGCCCUCGCCACUGUGAUCGGGGAGUCUUCACCCCUUCCACCGGCGCACGGCGCGCCUGUGGCGCCACUGACCGCAGCCCGCGGCCGGGAAGGCGGGGGGGCGGACGCAUACACCCUCCCCCAAGCUCUCAAGGAGCAGGGUGGUACCCGCAAGCCAGGAGACCGGCCACGGCAUCUCACGAACU
rnacentral:ncRNA from 2 species